GACGAACACUGGCGGCGUGCCUAACACAUGCAAGUCGUACGUCGAACCCCAUUUUUUUGUCGCAAGAUAAAAAGAAGGGGGGAAAGUGGCAAAUGGGUGAGUAACAUCUAAGUAAUUUGCCCUUUGGAAGAGAAUAAUCUACCGAAAGGUAGACUAAUCCUCUAAAGACCACAAAGAUGCAACUUUGUGGUAAAAGGCAAUUCGUAAGAGUUGCCGCCAAAGGAUAAGCUUAGAUCCUAUUAGCUAGUUGGUAAGGUAAUGGCUUACCAAGGCGAUGAUGGGUAGCUGGUCUGAGAGGAUGGUCAGCCACACUGGGAUUGAGAUACAGCCCAGACUCCUACGGGAGGCAGCAGUGGGGAAUUUUGGACAAUGGAGGAAACUCUGAUCCAGCGACGCCGCGUGGGUGAUGAAGGCCUUCGGGUUGUAAAACCCUGUCGAGUGGGAUGAAGUCCAACGUAUAAUUUUAUAUGCUGGGCUGACAGUACCACCAAAGGAAGUCCCGGCUAACUCCGUGCCAGCAGCCGCGGUAAGACGGGGGGGACAAGUGUUGUCCGGAAUUACUGGGUGUAAAGGGCAUGUAAAUGUCCUGGUAAGUUUUCGGUGAAAUCCUCGGGCUCAACCCGAGAACUGCCGAGAAAACUAUCGGGAUAGAGUUUGGAAGAGGAGAGCGGAACUCCCGGUGUAGCGGUGGAAUGCGUAGAUAUCGGGAGGAACACCAGUGGCGAAGGCGGCUCUCUAGUCCAAAACUGACAUCGAAAUGCGAAAGCUAGGGGAGCAAACAGGAUUAGAUACCCUGGUAGUCCUAGCUGUAAACGAUGGGUAUUAGACAUCAGCCCGCAAGGGUUGGUGUCGUAGCUAACGCGUUAAAUACCUCACCUGGGGAGACGGCCGCAAGGCU
rnacentral:rRNA from 1 species